AGACACGACUGAGCAACUUCCACUUUCACAAGAGCAAAGCAAAGUAACCCUGCUUUUUCUAGCUUGAGACACUCACUUUCUCUGGAAUCACCUGGGUGACUCAUGUCACAAGAAGUGAAGAGCAAGAUGAGCCAGGGCCCGCUGUCCAGGAUGGGGCCCGCCACCGGGCAGCGUCACGGAAGGGAGCUGGGUGAAUCUUCGUGAGGAGCUCCAAGAACUGCCUCCUCAAAUGCCAAGAGAGACCUAGUGGUUUGAUCAGAGCAGCCCUCACCGGGCCCUGCGGCAACGAAUCUGCCAAAACUAAACAAACAAAAGCUGUGGCAAGCAGGGCUCAGCUGUUACGAGGCCAAUUUCCGCCAAGACCGCCCAGAUGCUGCCACCCCAGCAGGUGGUGCCCUGGGGGACGGGGCCUGAAAUGGGACCUGCUCUGUAGGGCGUGGGCUUGGAGGUUCAGGGGGGUGCCUUCUUGGCCAGGCCUAGUGCUCCGGGAGCGGGAUGGCCUUGAAGACUUGCUGGGUUUCCCACAAAGGGCAGGAGGUUACAUUCCAAAAUGCAAGCUUGCGUCUGUUGACCUGAAGCAAACAGACCGCAGGUGUUUCUGCAGCAAAGUUGGGUUUAUUCAAUUCGGGAUCAGCAGGGAAUUGCACUUAAGGCUCUCUGCCGUGGCGGCCACAUGCAAGACCGCACCCGGCAAGGGAAGGAGCAGCUUUCAUAGAGGGGACACGGGCCGGGCCGGCUGGGUAAACAGAGCCUGGGCUUCUCACGGCGGAGUCCUGGCGGGGAGGAAGGGGACUCUCCCUUCCACGGUGGGGCUCCGCUGUGGCUGCAGGGCGAGAGCGCCCCCUGCUGGACCCCUGUCUGUCUACCCAGGGUUUCCAUUCAUUAAAGUUUCACCGGCGUCCGGACGGAAGCCAAAAGGGACAUGAGAUACGCAUUUUUCCUUAUUCCUGCUUGGGGAGGGUGCUCAGAACGUUUUCCUUCUUUCUAAAGAAAGCAAGCGCUUUCAGCACAUUCUAGGUGCCCAUGCGCCCGUAGGUCGCCCACCAGCCCCUCGUCAGGAGGGGACAGAGCGCAACGCGGGCGGGAAGUGCUCUGCCUUCGCCUCGGGGCCGCCCUCCCCUCCCCGCCAAGUCGCAGCAGCGCUCACACUGCCCCCGCUUCCGGGGCUGCCCGACUCCAAAGGCAGCGCGGACCUGCGCGAGGACCUGGGGCCGCUCCUCCGGUGAGCCGUCUGGGCCGCGGCCAGCCCUGGGCUCGUCUACAGAGUAUUCUCAGAUGACGUGUGACUGCGUCGCCCUCAAUGACUUUUUACCUGAACACCCAGAAUUCAUGAAAUGCCCACGGUGACAACACCAGCCGAUUCUUCACCACUGGACCCCCAGGGAAGGCCCCCUUCCACAGCCUGCUAUUGAGUACCCGCUGUCGGCCAGGAGCUGCCCUGGGGUCUGGGGACGUCAUGAAUUUGGUCUCUGACCCCAGCUGCUGACAUGGAGCUCCUGGAACCUGUGUAAUUUCCUGGUUGAUGGGAGUGUCUUCAGUUCUCAUGAGAUGACUCUGGGUGGAGCUCCUG
ensembl:lncRNA